rnacentral:rRNA from 1 species
AACGAACGCUGGCGGCAUGCCUAACACAUGCAAGUCGAACGAGACCUUCGGGUCUAGUGGCGCACGGGUGCGUAACGCGUGGGAACCUGCCCUUAGGUUCGGAAUAACUCCCCGAAAGGGGUGCUAAUACCGGAUAAUGUCUUCGGACCAAAGAUUUAUCGCCUUUGGAUGGGCCCGCGUUGGAUUAGCUAGUUGGUAGGGUAAAAGCCUACCAAGGCGACGAUCCAUAGCUGGUCUGAGAGGAUGAUCAGCCACACUGGGACUGAGACACGGCCCAGAAUCCUACGCGAGGCAGCAGUGGGGAACACUGGACACUGGGCGAAGGCGUGAUCCAGCAAUGCCGGGUGAGUGAUGAAGGGCUUAGGGUUGUAAAGCCCUUUUACACGGGAUGAUAAUGACAGUACCGGGUGAAUAAGCUCCGGCUAACUACGUG